CCCCUAGAUGUUCUGGGCCGCACGCGCGCUACACUGAACAGUUCAACAAGUCUUAACCUUGGCCGACAGGCCCGGGCAAUCUUUGAACGCCGGUCGUGAUGGGGAUAGACUUUUGCAAUUUUUGGUCUUCAACGAGGAAUUCCUAGUAAACGCAAGUCAUCAACUUGCAUUGAUUACGUCCCUGCCCUUUGUACACACCGCCCGUCGCACCUACCGAUUGAAUGGUCCGGUGAAGCCUCCGGAUUGGCGCGCACCUCGGUGCCGCCGAGAAGUUGGCUAAACCUUACCAUUUAGAGGAAGGUGAAGUCGUANCA
rnacentral:rRNA from 1 species